CCUGGUUGAUCCUGCCAGUAGUCAUAUGCUUGUCUCAAAGAUUAAGCCAUGCAUGUCUAAGUAUAAGCACUUGUACUGUGAAACUGCGAAUGGCUCAUUAAAUCAGUUAUCGUUUAUUUGAUUGUACCUUACUACAUGGAUACCUGUGGUAAUUCUAGAGCUAAUACAUGCGAAAAGUCCCGACUUCUGGAAGGGAUGUAUUUAUUAGAUUAAAAACCAAUGCGAGUCUUCGGGCUCGUUUUCUUGGUGAUUCAUGAUAACUUUUCGAAUCGCAUGGCCUAGAGCCGGCGAUAUUUCAUUCAAAUUUCUGCCCUAUCAACUGUCGAUGGUAAGGUAGUGGCUUACCAUGGUUAUAACGGGUGACGGAGAAUUAGGGUUCGAUUCCGGAGAGGGAGCCUGAGAAACGGCUACCACAUCUAAGGAAGGCAGCAGGCGCGUAAAUUACCCAAUCCUGACUCAGGGAGGUAGUGACAAUAAAUAACGAUGCCGGGCUCUUUGAGUCUGGCAAUUGCAAUGAGAACAAUCUAAAACCCUUAACGAGGAUCAAUUGGAGGGCAAGUCUGGUGCCAGCAGCCGCGGUAAUUCCAGCUCCAAUAGCGUAUAUUAAAGUUGUUGCAGUUAAAAAGCUCGUAGUUGGAUUUCGGAGUGGGCCAGUUGGUCCGCCGCAAGGUGUGUUACUGACUGGUUUGCUCUUCUUCGCAAAGACUGCGUGUGCCCUUAAAUGAGUGUGCGUAGGAUUUACGACGUUUACUUUGAAAAAAUUAGAGUGUUCAAAGCAGGCUAUUGCUUGAAUACAUGAGCAUGGAAUAAUGGAAUAGGACUUUGGUCCCAUUUUGUUGGUUUCUAGGGCCGAAGUAAUGAUUAAGAGGGACAAUUGGGGGCAUCCGUAUUUCGUUGUCAGAGGUGAAAUUCUUGGAUUUACGAAAGACGAACAACUGCGAAAGCACUUGCCAAGAGUGUUUUCAUUAAUCAAGAACGAAAGUUAGAGGAUCGAAGACGAUCAGAUACCGUCCUAGUUCUAACCAUAAACGAUGUCGACUAGGGAUCAGCGGGCGUUAUCGUACGACCCCGUUGGCACCUUACGGGAAACCAAAGUUUUUGGAUUCCGGGGGAAGUAUGGUUGCAAAGCUGAAACUUAAAGGAAUUGACGGAAGGGCACCACCAGGAGUGGAGCCUGCGGC
rnacentral:rRNA from 1 species